AUCUAGAUCACGCGCCCCACGAAUCUCUGCGCGGGAGGGCCAAGCCAGUUGGGAUUAUUGCGUCAAUUGGGCGGAAGCCUGACCGCAGUGCGACGGCCGGCGUGGGGAUAUGACGCUUCUCGGUUGUAACCUCUCUUUACCACCCAACGCCAGGCUCCCGGGUCCCCUCGGGGGUUGACCGUAGGUGGGGGAAUAAGGCACCGCCUAACUACGUGCCCAGCAGCCCCGGUAAUAACGUAGGGUCCCAGCGCUUGUCCCGGAAUUAUUGGGCGUAAAGAGCUCGUAGCCGGCGGUGUCGCGUCUGCUGUGAAAGACCCGGGGCCUAAACUCCCGGUUCUGCAGUGGAUACGGGCAUGCUAGAGGUAGGUAGGGGAGACUGGAAUUCCUGGUGUAGCGGUGAAAUGCGCAGAUAUCAGGAGGAACACCCGGUGGCGAAGGCGGGUCUCUGGGCCUUACCUGACGCUGAGGAGCGAAAGCAUGGGGAGCGAACAGGAUUAGAUACCCUGGUAGUCCAUGCCGUAAACGUUGGGCGCUAGGUGUGGGGACUUUCCACGGUUUCCGCGCCGUAGCUAACGCAUUAAGCGCCCCGCCUGGGGAGUACGGCCGCAAGGCUAAAACUCAAAGGAAUUGACGGGGGCCCGCACAAGCGGCGGAGCAUGUUGCUUAAUUCGACGCAACGCGAAGAACCUUACCAAGGUUUGACAUCACCCGUGGACCUGUAGAGAUACAGGGUCAUUUAGUUGGUGGGUGACAGGUGGUGCAUGGCUGUCGUCAGCUCGUGUCGUGAGAUGUUGGGUUAAGUCCCGCAACGAGCGCAACCCUUGUUCCAUGUUGCCAGCACGUAAUGGUGGGGACUCAUGGGAGACUGCCGGGGUCAACUCGGAGGAAGGUGGGGACGACGUCAAGUCAUCAUGCCCCUUAUGUCUUGGGCUGCAAACAUGCUACAAUGGCCGGUACAAUGGGCGUGCGAUACCGUAAGGUGGAGCGAAUCCCUUAAAGCCGGUCUCAGUUCGGAUUGGGGUCUGCAACUCGACCCCAUGAAGGUGGAGUCGCUAGUAAUCGCGGAUCAGCAACGCCGCGGUGAAUACGUUCCCGGGCCUUGUACACACCGCCCGUCACGUCAUGAAAGUCGGCAACACCCGAAACUUGCGGCCUAACCCUUCGGGAGGGAGUGAGGAAGGUUUUUCGUCCUUUCCC
rnacentral:rRNA from 1 species